CCUACGGGUGGCAGCAGUGAGGAAUAUUGGUCAAUGGGCGAGAGCCUGAACCAGCCAAGUCGCGUGAGGGAGUACUGCCCUAUGGGUUGUAAACCUCUUUUGUCGGGGAGCAAAAGCCGGACGUGUCCGGCUGUGAGAGUACCCGAAGAAAAAGCAUCGGCUAACUCCGUGCCAGCAGCCGCGGUAAUACGGAGGAUGCGAGCGUUAUCCGGAUUUAUUGGGUUUAAAGGGUGCGCAGGCGGAUUUUUAAGUCAGCGGUAAAAUCGUGGGGCUCAACCCCAUCCAGCCGUUGAAACUGGGGAUCUAGAGUGUGCGAGAGGUAUGCGGAAUUCGUGGUGUAGCGGUGAAAUGCUUAGAUAUCACGAAGAACCCCGAUUGCGAAGGCAGCCUGCCGCAGCGUUACUGACGCUGAAGCUCGAAAGCGCGGGUAUCGAACAGGAUUAGAUACCCUUGUAGUC
rnacentral:rRNA from 1 species